GGAUGUGCUUCUGAGGUUUGCUGGAGAUGCUGAGCCUGCCUCCAGACGUGGACGCGGCAGAAGGGCUGGUCACGAGGCCUGGGAGUCUUGGGUCAGAGCAGGAGUUGGGGCCAAACCCCAAGAGCAGGAAGCUACUGAGACAAUGCAUGCUGACUCCACUUCCUGGGUCCUCGACUAUCUCAGUGACCAUCUGUUUAGAAGAAUUUGUGUUUGAUUAUGUGUGGACACCUAAAAAACAAGAAACUGCUGAGUACUGUGCUAUUGUGUGUUUAAGAAGAGGCUGGAAUCUGUUGACGAGCAGUAACUCUAUAGACCUACUCAGGCUUUUGUCGUUGUUGUAUUUCUGCACGAUAAAGUCUUUUGUCAAUUCUUGCUCCGGACCCCUCGAUUAGUUUUACUCUCUCUCUCUUGAAUUAGUCGAAGUGUUUAUAUCUCAGUUAAUCCACAACAAAGGCUGAGUGCGGUCGUUUGGAUAAGACGCCAGCAUGAGGGUCAUUGCCGGUCGGUUUAGAUAAAACUCCAGCGUGGACCAGUCGACCCGAGGACCGCGACUGUCCGAUCGCGUCCACACGCACACACACACACCCCGCCAAGUGAGGUGAAAGGUACAUUUGAUUGUUUGUUUGUUUGCUCCUGUGAGUGAAGCGGCCAUUUUUGCAACGUGGGGAUAAAUAGUUCGUACCGUUAUAGGACUUCAUUUUGCUUUGAACUUUUCCAAAAUGCAUUUGAUUUCAUGUGUGAAUUGAUUUACCUGUGGGUCGAUGCACAGAAUGAUUCUUGUUAACGUUUAACGUGUUAAUUCAAUGAAACCAUCUUUCAUAGUAAAUUAUGUGUGUUUUUAUUGUCAUUACCAUGCAGUGAUUCCUAUACAUUAGGGGUUUAGUUCUACAAGACACUACACUACAACUAAACAUAAAAUCGGGUAGAUACUGUGGAGGCAUACUCUAUUCAUUAUGGGCAUGUCAUUUUGGGCAGGAGGCCUGUGAAAUAGGCCUAGGGCUUAACAGGUUAGAGC
rnacentral:lncRNA from 1 species